UCGAGAAUCUUCCGCAAUGGGCGAAAGCCUGACGGAGCAAUGCCGCGUGCCGGAUGAAGGUCUUCGGAUUGUAAACGGCUGUCACCGGGAACGAACAAAAUGACGGUACCCGGGGAGGAAGCCACGGCUAACUACGUGCCAGCAGCCGCGGUAAUACGUAGGUGGCGAGCGUUAUUCGGAUUUAUUGGGCGUAAAGGGUCCGCAGGGGGCUAAUUAAGUCUGACGUGAAAUCUCACGGCUCAACCGUGAAACUGCGUUGGAAACUGAUUGGCUAGAGUAUCGGAGAGGUGAUUGGAAUUCCAGGUGUAGCGGUGGAAUGCGUAGAUAUCUGGAGGAACACCCAAAGCGAAGGCAGAUCACUGGACGAUUACUGACCCUCAGGGACGAAAGUAUGGGGAGC
rnacentral:rRNA from 1 species